AACGGCCAUACUAAUCUGAAUAUACCGGUUCUCAUUAGAUCACCGAAGUCAAGCAUCAUGGGGCGCGGUUAGUACUUGGGUGGGUGAUCAUCUGGGAACACCGCGUGCCGUU
rnacentral:rRNA from 1 species